rnacentral:rRNA from 1 species
UGCCGUCGGCGCCUACCAUGCAAGUCGGACGGUAGCACAGAGGAGCUUGCUCCUCGGGUGACGAGUGGCGGACGGGUGAGUAGUGUCUGGGGAUCUGCCCGAUAGAGGGGGAUAACCACUGGAAACGGUGGCUAAUACCGCAUAACGUCGCAAGACCAAAGAGGGGGACCUUCGGGCCUCUCACUAUCGGAUGAACCCAGAUGGGAUUAGCUAGUAGGCGGGGUAACGGCCCACCUAGGCGACGAUCCCUAUGUGGUCUGAGAGGAUGACCAGCCACUCUGGAUCUGAGACACGGUCCAGACUCCUACGGGAGGCAGCAGUGGGGAAUAUUGCACAGUGGGCGCAAGCCUGAUGCACCCGUGCCGCGUGUAUGAAGAAGGCCUUCGGUUUGUAAAGUACUUUCAGCGGGGAGGAAGGCAGUGAGGUUAAUAACCUUACUGAUUGACGUUACCCGCAGAAGAAGCACCGGCUAACUCCGUGCCAGCAGCCGCGGUAAUACGGAGGGUGCAAGCGUUAAUCGGAAUUACUGGGCGUAAAGCGCACGCAGGCGCUCUGUUAAGUCAGAUGUGAUCUCCCCGGUCUUAACCUGGGAUCUGCAUUUGACACUGGCAGGCUUGACUCUCGUAGAGGGGGGUAGAAUUCCAGGUGUAGCGGUGAAGUGCGUAGAGAUCUGGAGGAAUACCGGUGGCGAAGGCGGCCCCCUGCACGAAGACUGACGCUCAUGUGCGAAAGCGUGGAGAGCACACAGGAUUAUAUACCCUGAUACUCCACGCCGUACACGAUGUCGACUUGGAGUGUUGCUCCCUUGAGGAGUGUCUUCCGGAGCUAACGCGUUAACUCGAGCGUCUGAGAGUACGGUCGCAAGGAUAACACUCAUAUGAUGUGACGGGGGCCCGCACAAGCGGUGCGCAUGUGUUAUAUCUCGAUGCAACGCGAAG